CCUGAGGGUUGAAGACUUCACAGUUUAUGACAUCAUAGGACAAAUCUGCUCUGCAGAAUCCAAAGACAUUCAAAGAGGAGAGAAGUGUGUGUGUGUGUGUGUGUGUCUGUGUGUGUGUAUGCAUAUGGGGAACUGAAGAUGCCCAGCCAGAGUUGUGAGCUUCCAGUCAUUCAGCAAAGGAAGAAGAGCUUUAGAAAAAUCAGAGUAAUAUGAUCAGAUCGCCCCACCAGUGGCUCAACAAUCUGUCCUCAUGUACACGUUGAAGAAAGCACAGGUGGUGAAGGGUCUCAUUUCAAGUUGUUGUGGUUUUCUGCCAUGGAGGAAAGUGUUGAAAAAAAAGGGAACUAUACAGCAUAAAGAUGGGUUUUCACAGAUCCUGUCAAGCUUGAUGCAGAUGAGCAGGUAACCAUGGAAGUCGUGAGCUGAGGCUGCAGAGUCUAGAGCCAGAGUGUGGAAUAAACAUGGGUCUCAAAUCACCCCUGGAGCAAAGCCCCCAUCUAAUCAGGAACUUCUACUUUCAACUUUACAUGCGUGAGAAAUGAACUUCUAUCAUGUUAGAACUUUGAUGUCUUCAAAGCAAGGCGAGUGAGUGGCACUCUUCAGACAAGAAGGAAGAUGGCAGGUGAAAUCAUCGUCUUCUAAUGAGCCCUGUGCUAUGCUUGCUGAUGUCCUUGGUCACGGAGAUUUUCAGAAGAGCCAUGGCCUUACCAGUGAAGGUUACACAGAGGCCACUGGAGUCAAGUAAUUCAUUGCACCUUAUUACAUUUAGGCACUUCUUUAUCCAUCAUGCAGGCUAUUGGGAUUAAAAUGGGUCCUUUCAACAAUGAGUUAAUGUUGAAGAUUCUGUGGAUCCAUUUAUUGACACAUAUUGGGUAUUCUCUGGACACAUUCCUUAACUUCAAAACUGUUUCUUGGACAUUGUGCUAGGUGCUAAGGAAACACAAAUGGAAGGUAUAAUUCUUGUCUUCUGGGUGUUCACUGUUGGGUCUGAUGCCAUACAACUAUUGUGAACACACGAGGGAAGUGUAAGCUGUGGUUCUUGCCCUCGGCCUGAGGAGCACAGUCCCUGAGGUGGAAGGGUCUCCAGAUGACAGCAGUGUCCAUGCCUUAUUUACUCUUGAUUUCCAGCACCUGCCUCCUGCCCAGCACAGUUGGGCCCCAAACCUGAUCACUGACGGGGUUGCUCUGGACCAGCCCAUCACUCAAUGCAGAGCUUCCUUCCAGUGUUUGGUGUCUGCUUGAGGAUGUGGAGAUAUGAGGGCCUCUCUCCCACUCCUGCAGCCCAUUCCAUUGUUGCUUCACACUGAUUACUAAGAGAUUUCCCUGCCUGCCUUGUAACCUGACCAACAAACCCAGAUUCUGCCCUCAGGAGUUACCCGAACUAAAACACUAUACAGACUAAA